AGAGCAAUGCUAAAUAGUAAUAUGAUGUAUAUUGCCUGACACCUGCUCGGUGCCCUGUAAGUAAAAGUUGAGGACUUAAUCGUCCCAAGAUAUAAGCUCAGGUUAACAGCGGCUGUAACCUUGACGGUCCUUAAGGGUAGCGAAAUCCCCUCGGUAGUUAAUUGCUGCCAUGCAUGAAUGGUGUAACGACUGCUUGGCUGUCUCAGGUUUUAUUUUAGUGAAAAUGUAGUAUCCGUGAAGAUACGGAUUACCUGUAGCGGGACGUUAAGACCCUAUGCAGCUUUACUAUAAUCUUGUAUUGUUCGGAGAUAUUUAAGUAUGCAGGAUAGUUAACAGCUUAUGAUAUUUUGACGCUAGUCAAUUGUGGAGGCUUCCUUGAGAGUAGUAAUUCUUAAGAGCUCACAUUUGACUAGCGUCAAAAUAUCAUAAGCUGUUAAC
rnacentral:rRNA from 1 species